GUACUGACUAGGCAGGGCAGUGACGAUGAUCAGCAAGGCUAUUCUCUCGGGCAGAGGCUCGCCCAAUCCACUUCGGGUUUGCUGACCUCUGCGAUGUCCCAAAUGUGGGACACUCGACUGCAAAAUACGUGGUGGUGGCAACAGUGUUCGAGCAUUCUCCUG